rnacentral:rRNA from 1 species
UACAGGGGGUGCAAGCGUUAUCCGGAAUUAUUGGGCGUAAAGAGCUCGUAGGCGGUUUGUCGCGUCUGCCGUGAAAGUCCGGGGCUCAACUCCGGAUCUGCGGUGGGUACGGGCAGACUAGAGUGAUGUAGGGGAGACUGGAAUUCCUGGUGUAGCGGUGAAAUGCGCAGAUAUCAGGAGGAACACCGAUGGCGAAGGCAGGUCUCUGGGCAUUAACUGACGCUGAGGAGCGAAAGCGUGGGGAGCGAACGGG